GUACUUGAACACUCAGCAUGCAUACUAAAAAUGGAGUGAUCCCGAGAAGAUUAGCAUGGCAUGGACCCUUCACAAGGAUGACAUGCAAAUUCCACAUUUAGACAUAAAUUCU